GCUCCGGUAGCUCAGCGGAAGAGCGCCCCCGACGUUCGAGGGGGAAGCCGCCGGUUCGAAUCCGGCCCGGAGCA
rnacentral:tRNA from 1 species